rnacentral:rRNA from 1 species
CGUAGGCGGACUUUUAAGUUAGGGGUGAAAUCCCAGGGCUCAACCCUGGAACUGCCCUUAAUACUGGAAGUCUUGAGUUCGAGAGAGGUGAGUGGAAUUCCGAGUGUAGAGGUGAAAUUCGUAGAUAUUCGGAGGAACACCAGUGGCGAAGGCGGCUCACUGGCUCGAUACUGACGCUGAGGUGCGAAAGUGUGGGGAGCAAACA